AUGAGAGCACGGCCGUCGGGCACCGGCACACUGGCAGCGCGCGCAUGGGCCUCCUCGCCGCGGCCUCGGACUGGAAGAAUUCGUGGAUGGUCUCACCAUCUCAGAANNNNNNNNNNNCUUCCUCUGCGGCUUGCUGGCCUCGUUGGUGGACAGAGGGGUCGGCUGCCUCUCGCGGCUCUGAACUGCAGGACUCGCUGGAUGGAUGUGAGUGUGAGCAACCAAGCUAUAUCAGAUUGCUCACAAGAUAGGUUAGAUUUUUGUGGCAUAUCACUAUCCUUUUUCUGUUGGUGUAGACCUUUUCCUAUUGUAUUAUGA
rnacentral:rRNA from 1 species